rnacentral:rRNA from 1 species
GACGAACGCUGGCGGCGUGCUUAACACAUGCAAGUCGAACGGAAAGGCCCUGCUUUUGUGGGGUGCUCGAGUGGCGAACGGGUGAGUAACACGUGAGUAACCUGCCCUUGACUUUGGGAUAACUUCAGGAAACUGGGGCUAAUACCGGAUAGGAGCUCCUGCUGCAUGGUGGGGGUUGGAAAGUUUCGGCGGUUGGGGAUGGACUCGCGGCUUAUCAGCUUGUUGGUGGGGUAGUGGCUUACCAAGGCUUUGACGGGUAGCCGGCCUGAGAGGGUGACCGGCCACAUUGGGACUGAGAUACGGCCCAGACUCCUACAGGAGGCAGCAGUGGGGAGUAUUGCACAAUGGGCGGAAGCCUGAUGCAGCAACGCCGCGUGCGGGAUGACGGCCUUCGGGUUGUAAACCGCUUUCGCCUGUGACGAAGCGUGAGUGACGGUAAUGGGUAAAGAAGCACCGGCUAACUACGU